AUGUUCAGCCCUAACACAAGUGAGAACGCAAAGAAUUCAGUUAAAAACAUCCUGGGAAUUGGAAGUGAGGAGUGGAAUGAGAGGUACUUGGGGCUGCCAGUACAUGUGGGUCGGUCAAGGAGGAAAACCUUUGCUUACAUCAAAGGAAACAUAUGUGGCAGGGUCUAUGGAUGGGAGGAGAAGCUGUUAGCAAAAGAGAGUAAGGAGGGCUUGGUCAAGGGGGUGGCGCAGGCAAUUCCCACAUACGCCAUGUCAUGUUUCGACCUGACCAAGACUCUGUGUGAUGAAAUAAACAGCCUCUUGGGGAGAUUCUGGUGGAGCCAGCAAGAUCGACAGAACACGCUUCAUUGGAUAAGUUGGGACAAGUUGACUUUACCCAAAUCAAAAGGGGGUCUUGGAUUCCGGGACAUGCAUAGCUUCAACCUGGCCAUGCUCUCUAGACAGGGCUGGCGUCUCCUCCAAAAUCCUGAAAGCCUAUGCGCAAAAAUUCUAAAAGCUAGGUAUUUUCCACAUUGUCACUUGCUGCAAGCGGAGCCUAAGGAGGGGAUUUCUUAUGCCUGGAGGAGUAUCCUACAGGGUAUCACCCUGAUUAAACAGGGAUACAUAUGGCGAAUCGGCGAUGGUGCAUCUGUAAACAUAUGGUCGGACCCGUGGAUACCACGGGCGUGGUCACGACAGGUCAUCACCCCAAAGGGUGCAAAUCUCCUAUCCAGGGUUAAUGAACUAAUCUGUCCAAUAACUGGACAGUGGGAUGAACAAAUGGUUCGGGACACCUUUUGGGCAGAGGAUGCACGACACAUUCUACAGAUUCCACUUCGGGAAGGAGCAGAAGAUUUCAUGGCUUGGCACUUUGACUGUAAGGGCAGACAUUCAGUAAGAAGUGCAUACCGUCUUCAGGUCCAAUUAUCCAAGCAAGAUCGAACUGGGGCACCGGGGAAUAGUUCAGAGGAUGCGGGUCAAUUCGAAAAGUCAGGCGACAGUUCUUGGAGACGUAUAUGGAAAAUGUCAUGCCCAAGGAAACUGCAAAUGUUUGUUUGGAGGAUGAAACAUGAAUCGCUGGCCCUGUGUACAAAUCUGGUGAAACGAGGUAUGAAACUGGAGAGUGAUAAAUGCUUUUUCUGUGGGAGAGCGACUGAAGAUGGUGGCCAUUUGUUCAUCAAGUGUAAAGUGGUGAAGGAAGUUUGGCGGGCGCUGUCUCUUGAGAUGGAAAGAAGGGAGCUG
rnacentral:rRNA from 1 species